rnacentral:lncRNA from 1 species
CACACGCUUUACUAUCCUACGUUGAAUUACCGGAAAUAAGUAAAUUGCAGAAAUAUAAAGAACACUGUUGUUUGAUGACGGAGAAACUCCAAUGUGGGUAAAACUCCGGGACCAAGUCAGUAGUUUCCACUAUACCAAUCCAGCAAGUACAAGUUCUGCCAAACUCCUUACCCAGUCAGACCCGCCGUUCUAGUCUCACUAUCUACUGCCGUAGAUACUGCUAAUCUCCUGCUAGCUUCCCGAUCUAUCUCUUGCAGCCCAAUCUGCUAUCCAAUACAGUCUCCUGGUCUUUAGCCGAUUGUAUCACCAAGUGGAAUUUCAAGAACCUCCUAUUUUUGUCCAGUUCCUGCACUUAUUGUCCAUCUCUUUCAAUCCUCCAAUGAGAGAGUCCGUUCCUCAAAGGAUUAAGGAACCACAGUGUUUUGUCUUCACAAACUUUGAUGUUUUCCCCACACAAUAGAUUGCCGGAUCACAAGAACGAAGAAGAUGAAUUAAUCUCUUGAAGCACUCCUCGGAUCUCUUGAAAGAAUAUGGCAAGAUGUUUCUCAAUGUAAGAGCAAUAUGGCAAUCUCUAAUUUUCUCAAAAACUGCAGCAAAUAAUGUUGUGUGUAUGUAUAAAAAUUCAGCAGCUGGUAACUUCUUAAUUCCAGAAUUCUUGUCCACAAAAUCCUUCAAGAACUACUGCCAACAAUGUUGUGUGUAUAUACAAUAAAGAUAGCCAUCAAUUGUUGACUUUUCAAAUGAACCCCAAGUGGUUGUAUAUUGAUUAAGUAUAUUACCAGAAACCUGCCACAACUUUGGACUCCAACAGCCCGUGUAUUUGUCCAAUUCAACCCCAAAUUUGCUUCAACUUUUCAUGAAUAUAUAUAUCCAAUUCGACGGCUGCAAAUUCUUCAAAUCAGCUUUGUCUCUCAUGCAUGUGAUAAAGAUAAUUUAAUCAGCAGCCUCCAUUAUUUAAUUCCUCAACCAGCAGCCCUUUUUUUUUUUUUUUUAAAUUCCCCCAAUAGCCACGCCUUUUGCCAUUUUAUGUUGUGAUAUAUAUAUAUAUAUAUAUAUAUAUAUAUAUAUAUAUAUAUAUAUAUAUAUAUAUACACACACACACACAACAGCCUCCUUAAUUGUGUCUUCCACAGAUGCCAACACCAAUGUGUAAUGUAUAAAAAAGAUAAUUCUUCCCAACCUGCAGCCGCUUCUUGUAUCUGUCUCUCUAUCUCAGGCGGCUCUACCUUUCUGUAGGCGUGUAGAGGUAUAUAUAUAAUUUUUGGCUGGCUCCCUUUCCAUACACAAACUAAACCCUAACAACUAUAUAAUAUUGCACAUCAAGCCUUGACUUUUAAACAUGUUCAAUUAAGUCCCUUUUUGUUCAUAGAAUGUCAAUUACAAUUUUAGACCUAACAAUCUCUCCCUUUGGCAUUUUGUGACAAAACUAUACAAAUUCAAGUCAAGGAAUUACAAUCAAUCAAAACAACCUAAACUACCCAGCAUUCGAAUCACCAAGUUCUGCAUUCCUUGUUGUACAUGUUUCCUGAAAUUCAAAAACUCACAUACCCAGUGUAAAAGCACGUGAUAUAGGAAAUAUAGAAAUUAAAGCAUUAAAUCACAAAUUAACAUGCUAGUUUGAGACGUAACAUUAAUGUCAAUCAAAACACCAAUUGAAACAUUAACAUCACUAAACAUUAAAACUCAAACAGCUAUGGAUGUGAUAUGGAAUGCAAUACAACGCUCCCCCUUACUGCAAACUUUCAUAUUUUUAUGCAGUAGGUAAAUAUAUAUGUCUCUCCCCAACGACUCCUAGACAUAGCAAUGCAAUGCAAGUAAUAUCAAUCAACAAAAUGUGCAUGCUCUCAUUUUCCAUUUUCUCCCGUUAGUAUAUACAUUUUCUUUCCCCCUUUUUGUCACAAAUGCUGAAGGGAAUCACAUUAAAACCAAGUCGAGCAAUGACACAUAACUAUCAAAAAUGCAGUUGAUAGCAUGUAAAAGCAAAAUUAACAAGUAGUAUACCUCUCCACAUACUGAGUUCAAUCCAAAAUGGAGUAAUAAAAAUAUAAGUGACUCAUGUGUAUAAAGUGUCACAAAUCAAAUGCAAGCAAGACUCCAAACCUUAAUUUUGUGAGAAGGGAUAUGCCAAUCACUUCUAAGAAGUAUAUUCUCCUACUAAUGAAAGUCAAACCAUGUAAUGUGCAGUAGGACCUAUACUUAUCAUUUUUACUUAUCUCCCCCUUACUAUGAGCUUUUAUAUUUUUCAGAUUUUCAUAUUAUUCAAGCUCUCCAUAUUUGGCACAUGUUUCUCAUUUUUCUAGCUCAUUAAUUGUUCAUUUUAAGUGCAGGUUCUUCUCCAUUAGGCGACUAAGAUGACUCUUGUAGUGAGCUUUAGGCCGGUUAACCCAAGUCAGUUGACCAUAGGCACCAAGUUUUAAGAGACUCCGUAGGCUUAAUUGCUCGAGUCAAAUAGGCCCCGAAGAAGAACAUUAAGAUAUGAGCUUUUUGUAAUGGGGAGAUUAUUUUUGGGUUUAGGUCUACUAAAUAAUGGUCAAUUCAUAUUCAAAGUCACCCUAUAACAUGUGACAGCCAUCCCAAAUCUCACACACACGGUAGAGUCCCACUAAUAAAUUCAUAGUGUGUGUAGUGCAGAUGGUACAUGAAGACACCUAUACUAAAUACUCCACGAUGACCAAAACAAGCAAUGGAAAUAAUGCUACAACUUUUCCAUUUUAGCUCAUACACGGUCACAACAUACAAGUUUCAGAAUUAUAUAUCAACCUGUAGAAAUCCCCCCCCCCUUUUGUAAUUUUAACAUGAAUGAGCCACACAGUUAUGUCACUGCAAUUUUUUUUAAAUUUUUUUAUUUAAUAUAUAUAUAUAUAUAUAUAUAUGAUGAGAUGACAAACAUAUGAAGAAGAUAAAAGUAAACAAAAUGAACAUGCAAUGAAAUGAAUGCAAAAAUGGACGCGGAAGUGAGCUGUACAUGAAUGUUCCUAUAAAACUAGUCAAUGAGGUGCACAAACACCAACAGCCUUCCUAAGUUACUCGAAUCUCAGACCAUCUAAAGGUUUAGUGAACAGAUCUGCAAGCUGAUUUUCUGUAGCAAUGUGUUCAAGGGAUACCACAUUGGACUCAACAAGUUCACGAAUGAAGCGGUGACGAAUAUUAAUAUGUUUAGUCCUAGAAUGUUAAAUGGGAUUUUUGAAGAUGUUGAUAGCGCUGGUGUUAUCACAAAACACAGUCAUGGUGUCCUGAUUUAUCCCAUAAUCACUCAACAUUUGCUUCAUUCAAAGCAAUUGAGUACAGCGACUAUCGGCUGCAACGUAUUCUGCCUCGGCUGUAGACAAAGAAACUGAGUUUUGUUUCUUACUCAUCCAUGACACAAGAUUAGAACCAACAUAGAAGCAUCCACCCAAGGUACUCUUCCUAUCAUCGGCAUUUCCAGCCCAAUCGGCAUCAGAAUAGCAAGCGAGUUCAAGAUUUGACUCUCUAGAAUAUAAGAUCCCAUGAUUUACAGUCCCAUUCACAUACCUAAUGAUACGUCUUACUGGACUAAAAUGGGAUUCCUUAGGAUCUGCCUGAAAUCUCGCACACACGCCAACACUGAAAGCUAUGUCAGGUCUACUAGCUGUAAGGUAGAGUAAGCUACCUAUCAUACUCCUAUACAAUGUCUGAUCAACACUUCUACCUAUAGGAUCAUGACCUAACUUAGCACUCAUGCUCAUAGGUGUUCUUGUGUAUUUUUUACUAUCCAGUCCAAAUCGCUUAACUAGGUCUUUGGCAUACUUUGACUGAGAGAUAAACAACCCAUAGCCAGUUUGCUUUACUUGAAGGCUAAGGAAGUAACUUAGCUCUCCAACCAUGCUCAUUUCAAAUUCUCGUUUCAUACAUUCGGCAAAUUCAUGAGCAAGGGAGUCAAUGGGAGAGCCAAACACAAUAUCAUCAACAUAGAUCUGUGCUAUAGUUAUGGUUUUUUCAAUAUGUCUAAUGAAUAGAGUUCUGUCUGCACCACCUCGUGAAAAACCAUGAUCAACGAGAUAUACAGUGAGUCUGUCAUACCAAGCUCUAGGAGCUUGUUUCAGACCAUACAAGGCUUUAUUCAAUUUGUAGACAUAAUAGGAAAGCUUAGGAUCGAUGAAUUCUUUGGGUUGUUCAACAUAUGCCUCUUCUUGAGGUAUUCCAUUCAAGAAGGCACUCUUGACAUCCAUUUCAUAUAGUUUGAACCCUAAAGUACAAGCAACCGCAAGAAGGAUGCGAAUGGACUCAAGACGUGCAACAAGGGCAAAUGUCUCAUCAAAAUCUACCACUUCAACCUGAGUGUACCCCUGAGCAACUAGCCUAGCCUUAUUUCUUGUUAUGGUACCCUGAUCAUCGGUCUUGUUCUUGAAAAUCCACUUAGUACCUAUCACAUUGCAAUCAUCAGGCCUAGGCACUAGAUACCAAACAUUGUUUUGAACAAAUUGAUUAAGCUCCUGAUGCGUUGCAUUCACCUAACAUUCAUCUUUAAGAGCUUCCUCAACUUUCUUAGGCUCAAUCUGGGAUACAUAACUUGUAUAGGUUAGGUUAUUCAGAACUCUCUUUCUUAACCUCAUACCUUAAUCUAGAUCCCCAAUGACGUUGACCUUUGGAUGGUUAGAUUUGACCUUGGACGAUGGUUCUCUAGGAAGCUUAGUUUGUUCACUAGGUGAAGGAUCCUUAACAGAAAUGUCUAUGCCUUUGGGGGAUCGCGAAGAUUUUGGAAUUGAUUGUUCUUUAUCUUCGGUUGUGGGUCCUUGAUCAUCACUUAGAUCAUCUAAAUCUACCCCAUUUUCAACGCUCUCUCCCUUAGAGAAAGCAUCAUCAACAAUAACAUUUAUAGACUCCAUGACAUUCUGAGUACGUAAGUUGUAUGCUCGAUAGGCUCUACUGUUCCUAGAGUACCCUAGAAAAAACCCUUCAUCACUUUUGGAAUCAAACUUGCCUAAGUUUUCUUUGUCCCUUAGAAUAUAGCACUUGCUGCCAAACACACGAAAGUAUUUAACAGUAGGCUUCUUGCCCUUCCAGAUCUCAUAAGGAGUCUUAUCGGUUUUCGAUCUCAGGUAUACUCUGUUCACUAUGUGGCAAGCAGUGUUAAUAGCUUCACCCCAGAAAUGCAUUACUAGAUCCUUACCGUGAAGCAUGGCUCUAGCCAUUUCCUGUAGCACUCUAUUUUUCCUCUCAACAACCCCACUUUGCUGUGGAGUGAUUGGUGAGGAGAACUCAUGCUGAAUCCCCUCAUUCAAAUAGAAGUUUUCAUGAUCACUUCGAACCCUAGAAAUGGAAAGAUUUUGUUCAAUUCUGAGUCUUUUACAUAAGGAUUUAACCAGAUCACAAGUCUCGGAUUUUUCUCUUAGUAGCUCAAUCCAGGUGUAUCUAGAGAAAUCGUCUACCACAAUAAGAAUUUAACGUUUACCUCCUAGGCUCUCAAUCCUAGAAGGUCCCAAUAAAUCCAUAUGGAGAAGUUCUAAGGGUCUGUUUCUCAAGAUUUUAGAUGUUUGUUUAUGGUUUAUCCUAAGUUGUUUUCCUUGUUGACACGGCUUGCACACAACAUUUUCAUUUUGUUCAAUUUUAGGUAAACCAUCAACAAUUUUCUUUUUGACUAAUUUUGACAUGCUUUUAUAGUUAAUAUGGCCGAGUCUUUGAUGCCAAAGUUCGGACAUAUCAAUUUUAGCACUACUACACACAUAGUUAGAGUUUGAGAGAACUCCAUAACAGUUAUCAGAAGUUCUAACACCUUCAAAGACAACAUCAUCUGAAGAGUCAUAAAUAGUACAUCUCUUUUGAACAAAACUCACUUCAUAGUCAGCAUCACAAAUUUGACUAAUGCUCAAUAGAUUGGACUUAAGACCCUCUACAUAAAGCACAUUAGAUAUAGUAGGAAGUCCAGAUAUGUUGAUGGAGCCUUUACCACGGAUAGGUGUCGUACCCCCGUCUCCAAAGGUAACUACACCACUGUUGCAGUCAUCAAAGGUAGAGAAUAAGGCCUUAUUACCGCACAUGUGUCUAGAACAAGCACUAUCAAGAUACCACAUACAUGUAUUUUGAGCCUUAUAUGCAACAUGAGCUACAGAACAAUUUGAAUUCUCACCAUACCUACCCACAUCAGAUUUCUUGACCCAAAUUUUUUAGAGGUCAAGGUGAUCCUAGUCAAUUUUGUCACCAUUUCAGUUAAGUGACUAACCUGAUUUGAAAGGAAGUUUACUUGACUAGGGAUAUCCUGACUUCUAUUCCUAUCUGCUAUCUUAUGACACCUAGGUCUCGUGUGUCCUAAAGCACCACAGUGAUGACAAGUGGGUAUGAACCUUGGUUCAAAUGCAUGUGAUUGUUGGUGCUGAAAUUUUGGUAUGGAAAUCUUACGGGCUCUAGUGGCAUUCAGUUCAGUGACACUCUUACUUUUGGAUUCACGAUUGAUUGAAAUACUAGAAUAGUUGGAAGCAGGCACGAAUGUGGUCUUGGAUGAACUAGUCACGUUGCUAUCACUCUUCACAAAUCCUAGACCUUGCCUAUUCCCAGUGGGUUUGUUCAUUCCUAAUAGGUCAUCUAGUUUCUUAGUCCCACUCAUAAAAGACUGUAGUUGAAUAUUAGAUUUCUCUAACUCACAAGUUAGUACCUUAAUCUUGUCCUCUAGCUUCUCAUUGACACACUUCAACUCACUAAGGUUUUUAGAUGAGACCUGAAGAUCAUUAGUGAGUCUUUCUUUCUCUCUCUCAAGCUCGUCUUCCUUCUUAAAUAGGGCCUUAUUUAGCUUUUUGAUCUUGAGACUCUCCUUAAACAGAAGUUGAUAAGCCUCAUGUAUAUCCGUCUCAUCCUUAGUAUCGUCACUAGACUUCUCACUCUCUAUAUCCUCCUCAACCUUCUCAACGUCCUUAUCUGACUCAUUCUUAAUUGUAGACACAAAAGCCAUAUAACUCUUUUCAUCUUCACUACUGGAGGAAUCCCUUUGAUCACUUGAGUUAGAAUCAUCAUCAGUCAAUGACACAGCGAAUGCCUUGCUCUUUCCCUUUUUCAGAUUUUUCUUAAAGUUAGGACAUUCAUUUCUAUAGUGCCAAAUUCCUUGAAACUCAUGGCACCUAACAACUUGAGAUUUCUUACUAAACUUCCUAGCAGUUGGUUUAUCACUCUUCUCUUUUUGGAAUUUACUAGGGACUCCUCUAUUUUUGUCUUGGGACCAUUUCUUGCCCUUUAAAGCUUUCUGGAACUUCUUUAUGAAGUAAGCUAUUUCCUCAUCUCUAAGGGUUUCUAUGUCAGACGACUCAGACUCUUCUUCUCCAACUGUGUUCAGUGCUAUGGACUUGUUUUUCUUAGGUUGUGAGAUGGUGAGUUCAUAGGUUUGAAGGGAUCCUAUGAGUUCUUCUAUCUUAACCGUGUCCAGACCCUUACUCUCUUCAAUCGUUGUAACCUUAGGUCUAAAUCUCUCUGGCAAAGACCUAAGAAUCUUUCUCACAAUUUUUGACUGGGGAAUCUUCUCACCUAGAUUGAGACUAGAGUUUAUAAUGUCAUUCAAUUUUGCAUAAAACUCAUCAAACGAUUCAUCAUCCUUCAUCUUAAUUUCUUCAAACCUAGAGGUUAGCAUUUGCAAUUUUGAAUUUUUUACGAUUUUAGUUCCCUCAUGCGUAGUCUCUAGAAUGUCCCAUAACUCUUUAGCAAUUUCACACAUUGACACUCUCCUAAAUUCUUCGAGAGACAGGGCCAUAAACAAGACAUGAAGUCUUUUGCUAUUCCAAUUGCAAUCAGCUAAUUCUUCCUUAGUCCAAAGUAAAAUAUCAGUUAGAUUGACAACACCUGACACAGUUGUGGAAGGAGGUUUCCAACCAUUUUGUACACUCACCCAAACACGUUCAUCUAAGGACUUGAGAAAAGCAUGCAUCCUAACCUUCUAGUAGGCAUAGUUGCUUCCGUCAAAAUACGGAGGCACAGACAGUGAUUGACUCAUCUAGACAACAAUGGGUCAGGACUCGAGUUUUAGCUCUGAUACCACUUGAAAUAACGUAGUUUGACCCAAAUAACACCUAGAGGGGGGAGGGUGAAUAGGUAUUUAUAAGGAAUUUUACAAAUUAAUUAAUAAAUGUAACAAGUCACAAUUAUUAAUGUGUUCAAGUCAAUUCACAUGCUUUACUAUCCUACGUUGAAUUACCGGAAAUAAGUAAAUUCAGAAAUAUAAAGAACACAGUUGUUUGAUGAUGGAGAAACCCCAAUGUGGGUAAAACUCCGGGACCAAGUUAGUAGUUUUCACUAUACCAAUCCAGCAAGUACAAGUUCUGCCAAACUCCUUACCCAGUCAGACCCGCCGUUCUAGUCUCACUAUCUACUGCUGUAGAUACUGCUAAUCUCCUGCUAGCUUCCCGAUCUAUCUCCUGCAGCCCAAUCUGCUAUCCAAUACAGCCUCCUGGUCUUUAGCCGAUUGUAUCACCAAGUGGAAUUCUAAGAACUUCCUGUUCUUGUCCAUUUCUUGCACUUGUCGUCCACCUCUCUCAAUCCUCCAAUGAGAGAGUCUGUUCCUCAAAGAAUUAAGGAACCAUGAUUUUUUGUCUUCACAAACUUUGAUGUUUUCCCCACACAACGGAUUUCCGGAUCACAAGAACGAAGAAGAUGAAUUAAUCUCUUGAAGCACUCCUUGGAUCUCUUGAAAGAAUAUGGGAGGAUGUUUCUCAAUGUAAGAGCAAUAUGGCAAUCUCUAUUUUUCCCAAAAACUGCAGCAAAUAAUGUUGUGUGUAUAAAUAAAAAUUCAACAGCUGGUAACUUCUUAAUUCCAGAAUUCUUGUCCACAAAAUCCUUCAAAAACUACUGCCAACAAUGUUGUGUAUAUAUACAAUAAAAAUAGCCACCAAUUGUUGACUUUUCAAAUGAACCCCAAGUGGUUGUAUAUUGAUUAAAUAUAUUACUAGAAAACUGCCACAACUUUGGACUUCCAACAGCCCGUGUAUUUGUCCAAUUCAACCCCAAAUUUACUUAAGCUUUUCGUGAAUAUAUAUACCCAAUUCGGCGGCUGCAAAUUCUUCAAAUCUGCUUUGUCUCUCAUGCAUGUGAUAAAGAUUAUUUAAUUAGCAGUCUCCAUUAUUUAAUUCCUCAAGCAGCAGCCCCUUUUUUUUUUUUUAAUUCUCCCAAUAGCCACGCCUUUUGCCAUUUUCUGUUGUGUGUGUGUGUAUAUAUUCAGCAGCCUCCUUAAUUGUGUCUCCCACAGAUGCCAACACCAAUGUGUAAUGUAUAAAAAAGAUAAUUCUUCCCAGCCUGCAGUCGCUUCUUGUAUGUCUCUCUAUCCCAGGCGGCUCUACCUUUCU